CAUGCAACACAUGAUGCUUGCUUGCAGAUCAUUCAUUUAAUUUAAAAAAUCGAGUAACUUGCAGAAACAGCGCCGCUGGAUUAAAAGGAGUAAUUAAGCAGUAAUUUUCUUGAUUUACUACCAAAUCUGGAAUAUCACAAGUUCAUCAUCAUCAUGAGGUUACACAGAAGACAGGAGCUUUUAUUACAAUGGAUAUUUAGUGCUUUUAUCAUCAUUUCAUUACAUGUAUUUUCAGAUGCACAAUCAACAGGAACAAGUUCUUCAUGUUUGCAAGCGAGGACUUGUGGAGACUGUAUAAUAACAGACCCAAGCUGUGCCUGGUGUGCACAAUCAGUA